CAAUCUUCAGAAUACGAAAGUGAUCAGAUAUGGCAAAGUCAAAGAACCACACCACACACAACCAGUCCCGUAAGUGGCACAGAAAUGGCAUCAAGAAGCCAAGAUCUCAACGUUACGAGUCCCUCAAGGGGGU